rnacentral:rRNA from 1 species
AUUGAACGCUGGCGGCAUGCCUUACACAUGCAAGUCGAACGGUAACACGGGGCAACCUGGCGACGAGUGGCGAACGGGUGAGUAAUGUAUCGGAACGUGCCCAGUUGUGGGGGAUAACUGCUCGAAAGAGCAGCUAAUACCGCAUACGACCUGAGGGUGAAAGCGGGGGAUCGCAAGACCUCGCGCAGUUGGAGCGGCCGAUAUCAGAUUAGGUAGUUGGUGGGGUAAAGGCUCACCAAGCCAACGAUCUGUAGCUGGUCUGAGAGGACGACCAGCCACACUGGGACUGGGACACGGCCCAGACUCCUACGGGAGGCAGCAGUGGGGAAUUUUGGACAAUGGGGGCAACCCUGAUCCAGCCAUGCCGCGUGCGGGAAGAAGGCCUUCGGGUUGUAAACCGCUUUUGUCAGGGAAGAAAAGACUCUUGUUAAUACCGGGGGUUCAUGACGGUACCUGAAGAAUAAGCACCGGCUAACUACGUGCCAGCCGCCGCAGUAA